ACCUGCAUGACACUCAGUGGUCUGGGGUGCAGGCUUCAAACCUGUAGGUGUCUAGUGACAGAGAGGUCAAUUCCAACAUUCAGGUG